GACGAACGCUGGCGGCGUGCUUAACACAUGCAAGUCGAACGGAAAGGCCCUGCUUUUGUGGGGUGCUCGAGUGGCGAACGGGUGAGUAACACGUGAGUAACCUGCCCUUGACUUUGGGAUAACUUCAGGAAACUGGGGCUAAUACCGGAUAGGAGCUCCUGCUGCAUGGGGGGGGUUGGAAAGUUUCGGCGGUUGGGGAUGGACUCGCGGCUUAUCAGCUUGUUGGUGGGGUAGUGGCUUACCAAGGCUUUGACGGGUAGCCGGCCUGAGAGGGUGACCGGCCACCUUGGGACUGCGAUACGGCCCAGACUCCUACGGGCGGCAGCAGUGGAGAAUAUUGCGCAGUGGGCGCGAGCCUGAUGCAGCAGCGCCGCGUGCGGGAUGACGGCCUUCGGGUUGUAAACCGCUUUCGCCUGUGACGAAGCGUGAGUGACGGUAAUGGGUAAGGAAGCACCGGCUAACUACGUG
rnacentral:rRNA from 1 species